UACGGAGGAUGCGAGCGUUAUCCGGAUUUAUUGGGUCUAAAGGGCGUGUAGGCGGUUUUGCAAGUCAGAUGUGAAAUCUCCGGGCUUAACCCGGAAACUGCAUCUGAAACUGCAGAACUUGAGCACUGGAGAGGAUAGUGGAAUUCCUAGUGUAGCGGUAAAAUGCGUAGAUAUCAGGAGGAACACCAGUGGCGAAGGCGGCUAUCUGGACAGUGACUGACGCUGAGGCGCGAAAGCGUGGGUAGCAAACAGGAUUA
rnacentral:rRNA from 1 species